ensembl:lncRNA
GGAGCAAAGGUGCCAGAAAUUCGUAAUAGCAAAAAAUGCAAUUCAGCUUGUUGUCGAAGGCUUUCAUGGCCAGAAUCACUGGGUUGUUUUGAAUUUUCAGGGUUGUUUGGCCAUGUUCCAGAAGCAUUCUCUCCUGAUGUUUCGCCCACAUCUGUGGCAGGCAUCCUCAGAGGUUGUGAGGUCCAUUGGAAACUAGGCAAGUGGGGUUUAUAUAUAAUAAUAAUAAUAAUCCAGACUGACAAAGUUCUGGAACACAACACACCAGACAUCACAGUUGUGGAAAAGAAAAAGGUUUGGAUAAUUGAUGUUGCCAUCCCAGGUGACAGUCACAUUGACAAAAAACAACAGGAAAAACUCAGCCACUCUCAGGACCUCAAGAUUGAACUUCAAAGACUCUGGCAGAAACCAGUACAGGUGGUCCCGGUGGUGAUCGGCACAUUGGGUGCCGUGCCAAAAGAUCUCAGCCGGCAUUUGGAAACAAUAGACAUUGACAAAAUUACGAUCUGCCAACUGCAAAAGGCCACCCUGUUGGGAUCUGCGCGCAUCAUCCGAAAAUACAUCACACAGUCCUAGACACUUGGGAAGUGUCUGACUUGUGAUUUUGUGAUAUGAAAUCCAGCAUAUCUAUCUUGUUUGCUGUGUCAUAAUAAAAUAAUAAUAAUAAUAAUAAAGAGGGUUGGAAGAGACCUCUUGGGUCAUUUAGCCCAACCCCCUUCUGCCCUUGUGCUGUGGGGGCCGGAUAAAUGGCUUCGAUGGGCCGCAUCCGGCCCCCGGGCCUUAGUUUGGGGACCCCUGAGCAAGACUAUUGAAAGAAUAAAAAUCCGGGUGAGUAGUGAAUGCGGUUGGUUUGCCACAGCCGAUAGAUAAUUGCUUUUAAUCACUCUCUCGGCCUCCGUUUUAAUCACUCUCCCUUUCGAAAACAAUUAGGGCCGAGUCUCUUUUCCCAUCCGUCUCCCCCAACUCACCCACCCUGCCACCUUCAUAAAAUUAUUUUAUUUUAAAUGCAUGAACUCCUUCCAAGCUUUUUUUCCUAGGAUAAAAUGAGCCCGCUCUGUUGUCCUCCAACCAAUAAGCUGACAGGGUAAUGAAUGGCUUUGGAUGGCAAUUAGCGGAUGGAGUUGCUAAUAAUGAAAUUCAUUUACAUUUUAAGCACUGCGGAGAGAUAGAGAGGCAGCGAGAGCGGGCGGAAAAGCCAGAGCCUGUGUCAUUAGCAAAAAAUAAAAUCAAAUAAAAGCCUGCCCCACGAUUGCUAGGUUUGGGAGGGAGGCAGCUCAUGCUUCCGAACAACCCAAGUGGAAACUGUUUAACAUGAUUGCACAUCAUCAUCUUCAUUUAGAAGAUGUUGGCUAAGCGGGGAAUGAGAUGCCAAAGUCGGCCUCGGAUCUCAAUACCCAAUCAGCCCUGUUCCGUUUGUGGAGACGGCCCAAGACAGGGUGCCAAGUUCGACAUGUGAAUGACAAAAAAUGCAUCCACACUGUGGAAUUAAUGCAGUUUGGUAUCACUUUAACUGCCAUGGCUCAGUGCUCUGAAAGCCUUGGGAGUUGGAGUUUAAUGAAGUACCCGUAAUCUUGAGCAAAGAAGGCUAAAACUGGGUUGCUAUGAGUUUUCCUUCCGGCCAUGUUUUGGAAGCAUUCUCUCCUGACGUUUCACCCACAUCUAUGGCAGGCAUCCUCAGAGGUUGUGAGGUCUGUUGGAAACUAGUCAAGUGGGGUUUAGAUUUAUUUAUUUAUUUAUUUAUUUAUUUGCGACAUUUAUAUCCCGCCCUUCUCACCCCGAAGGGGACUCAAGGUGGCUUUACAAAUUAUAUAUACAUACAAUAAUAAUAAUAAUAAUAAUUAUUAUUAUUAUUAUUAUUAUUAUUAUUAUUAUUAUUAUUUUUGUAUGCCGCCUUU